AUGAACGCUAGCUACAGGCUUAACACAUGCAAGUCGAGGGGCAUCAGGAAGAAAGCUUGCUUUCUUUGCUGGCGACCGGCGCACGGGUGAGUAACACGUAUCCAACCUGCCCUUUACUCGGGGAUAGCCUUUCGAAAGAAAGAUUAAUACCCGAUAGCAUAAUGAUUCCGCAUGGUUUCAUUAUUAAAGGAUUCCGGUAAAGGAUGGGGAUGCGUUCCAUUAGGUUGUUGGUGAGGUAACGGCCCACCAAGCCUUCGAUGGAUAGGGGUUCUGAGAGGAAGGUCCCCCACAUUGGAACUGAGACACGGUCCAAACUCCUACGGGAGGCAGCAGUGAGGAAUAUUGGUCAAUGGGCGCUAGCCUGAACCAGCCAAGUAGCGUGAAGGAUGAAGGCUCUAUGGGUCGUAAACUUCUUUUAUAUAAGAAUAAAGUGCAGUAUGUAUACUGUUUUGUAUGUAUUAUAUGAAUAAGGAUCGGCUAACUCCGUGCCAGCAGCCGCGGUAAUACGGAGGAUCCGAGCGUUAUCCGGAUUUAUUGGGUUUAAAGGGAGCGUAGGUGGACUGGUAAGUCAGUUGUGAAAGUUUGCGGCUCAACCGUAAAAUUGCAGUUGAUACUGUCAGUCUUGAGUACAGUAGAGGUGGGCGGAAUUCGUGGUGUAGCGGUGAAAUGCUUAGAUAUCACGAAGAACUCCGAUUGCGAAGGCAGCUCACUGGACUGCAACUGACACUGAUGCUCGAAAGUGUGGGUAUCAAACAGGAUUAGAUACCCUGGUAGUCCACACAGUAAACGAUGAAUACUCGCUGUUUGCGAUAUACAGUAAGCGGCCAAGCGAAAGCAUUAAGUAUUCCACCUGGGGAGUACGCCGGCAACGGUGAAACUCAAAGGAAUUGACGGGGGCCCGCACAAGCGGAGGAACAUGUGGUUUAAUUCGAUGAUACGCGAGGAACCUUACCCGGGCUUAAAUUGCAGUGGAAUGAUGUGGAAACAUGUCAGUGAGCAAUCACCGCUGUGAAGGUGCUGCAUGGUUGUCGUCAGCUCGUGCCGUGAGGUGUCGGCUUAAGUGCCAUAACGAGCGCAACCCUUAUCUUUAGUUACUAACAGGUCAUGCUGAGGACUCUAGAGAGACUGCCGUCGUAAGAUGUGAGGAAGGUGGGGAUGACGUCAAAUCAGCACGGCCCUUACGUCCGGGGCUACACACGUGUUACAAUGGGGGGUACAGAAGGCAGCUAGCGGGUGACCGUAUGCUAAUCCCAAAAGCCUCUCUCAGUUCGGAUCGAAGUCUGCAACCCGACUUCGUGAAGCUGGAUUCGCUAGUAAUCGCGCAUCAGCCACGGCGCGGUGAAUACGUUCCCGGGCCUUGUACACACCGCCCGUCAAGCCAUGGGAGCCGGGGGUACCUGAAGUACGUAACCGCAAGGAUCGUCCUAGGGUAAAACUGGUGACUGGGGCU
rnacentral:rRNA from 1 species